GCAAGCCGUAUGAAUUGAAAAGUUCACGUACGGUUUAGAGGGCAGUAUGAUAAACCCUAAAGGGCGGAUACCCUAAGCAGCCAAGGGUCGAGGGCCCUUGGCCCUAUUGACCCUAA
rnacentral:ncRNA from 1 species